CCAAUUCGGGUGGUGGCGCAGUUGGCUAGCGCGUAGAUCUCAUACUAUACCGUGAGUCAUCCUGAGCUCGAAAGUUCGAGCCUCUCUCACCCCACACGUACAAACUACCAUUGGUAGUGAUGAAAAGCUUUGUGACAACUUGGGUCGUCACAUAUCCACCUGGUUCAUCAGGUGAACUGAGCAUGUCUGAACCUUGGUC
rnacentral:lncRNA from 1 species